GAUUAACGCUGGCGGCGUGCCUAACACAUGCAAGUCGAACGGGGGUAGCAAUACCCCAGUGGCAGACGGGUGAGUAACGCGUGGCCAACCUACCGCCGGGUGGGGGAUAACUAGCCGAAAGGUUAGCUAAUACCGCAUGACACGUGCCGUGGCAUCACGGCACGUUCAAAGGAGCAAUCCGCCUGGUGACGGGGCCGCGUCCGAUUAGCUAGUUGGUGGGGUAACGGCCUACCAAGGCUCCGAUCGGUAGCUGGUUUGAGAGAGCGACCAGCCACAC
rnacentral:rRNA from 1 species